GGGCCCGUGGCGCAGUUAGGAUGGCGCGCUUGGCUUCGGCUCCCUCAAUUGGGAGAGGAUACCAAGAGGUCGGGGGUUCGAAUCCCUCCGGGCCCG
rnacentral:tRNA from 1 species